rnacentral:rRNA from 1 species
UACGUAGGGUGCGAGCGUUAAUCGGAAUUACUGGGCGUAAAGCGUGCGCAGGCGGUUUUGUAAGACAGGUGUGAAAUCCCCGGGCUUAACCUGGGAACUGCACUUGUGACUGCAAGACUAGAGUGUGGCAGAGGGGGGUAGAAUUCCACGUGUAGCAGUGAAAUGCGUAGAUCUGUGGAGGAAUACCGAUGGCGAAGGCAGCCCCCUGGGUCAACACUGACGCUCAUGCACGAAAGCGUGGGGAGCAAACAGG